UUUCCCCAGCCAAGGGCUGGGCUCCUCAUCUCUGAAAGGAAAGUUGUCAUUUGCUGUUGACCUGACAGUCCUGGCCAGGAGCCUCCCUUAACAGAGACAUCACUGGCUUUUCCUGAAAGAAAUUAGCCAUCUACUUGGAAUAAAACAACUUGAACUAAUUCACAUAAACUGUAAAUGACUGAAAGUCUGAUAAUAAUCACAUUCCUUUUGUUGUCUUGUUUUUGGACAGGGCCUCAUGCAGCCUAAACUGGCUCCAAACUCCGGAUCUUCCUAUCUUCAUCUCCCAUGUGCUGGGAUUCGGUGUGAGCUUGCAUCCAGGGCCAAUGCCUUCUGGAGGACUACACAGCUGAGACUGGCAGACACUAGUUUUCCAAAGGAAUACCUGAGCCCGAGUGUUCAGAGAUAGAGGGCUGACUCAAGGUGGCACAGCCUCCAUUCCUGGGGACAGCUUUCGGGAAUGCUUUCUGGAGAAUUGGCCUGACUGUGGUUAUGACCCCCUGAAAGAGGAAAAUGUGCUAUCGUAACACAGCUUGGUUACUCUACAUACUGGCCCCUGGAGGGAGCUGGCCAUUCAGUGGAUCUCAAAAUUGUUGUUUUGCCAAGGAUGGAAAUUAUAAGGAAAGAUAUUAACUUCUGUCUACACAGCAAACCUCGUCUUUUGAUGCGAUUUCACCAAAGGAAAUUCUGAGAUGUUAAUUUCUACUUCAUAGUUUCUAAGAGUGUGCUCUGAAUUAACACUACUUUUUUUUUUAUGUCACAUUGUCUCUAAAACAAUCUGGGACAAAAUUCAG